rnacentral:lncRNA from 1 species
GCUUGUUCGGUGAUCAGUGCUUGGAGCUGCUGCAGCUGGUGGCUCCUUCCACCUGCUGGGCUUUUGGUUUCAUGAUUAGAUGCUGGUCUAGUUCCUGAUCCAGUCCAGGCUUUUGUGCUGCUUUUACUGUAUUGGAGCUGACUUUUGAAGCAGGUGUCGCGUUCCUCAUGAAGAGAAGCCUUGUGUUGUUGGUGCCCAGGCUGUGUGACGCAGUACAGCAUGGCUCAGGAGUGCUGAAACUGUUUGUUCAGAGUCCAGGGUUUUGAAUUCAAGCUUGAAAUGUGGGAUGGGAUAUGAAAAAAAAAAAAAAAAAGAGAGACCUGAGUGGAGGAAAAGGACUGUGGGAUUAUGACACCCCGUUUCUUCUGCCAAAGAGUUGUUAUAAUAUACCUUAGUGGUCCAUAGUCUCUUGUGGAAAUCUCCCCCAUGCAGCAUCUGGACUGCAGAGGUCGUAAGUCACAAGGUAUUUUCUCUUCAGCUUCCAUAACCAAGAUAGAAAUUAAUGAAAAAGGUACAGCACUAGCACAAUCGAUAGCAGCCAUAUUUCUUCAAAGGACUUAAUUUUCUGUUUUUCAUGUUUCCCAAAUAGCUUUUCUGCUGCACAACAGGGGAAUGUGCCAAACCACUUGAAACUUAAUGGUAAAUGUAUUUUUCAGAUAAUCAGAAUUCCAAACAAAUGCUUUUACCCAUCAGAUCAUUCACUUCCCAUGAUAAAUCUUUACAGCAUAUGUAUAAUCCUUCAAAUUACUUUUUAGUCUCUUAUGUAGGCUGAGAUUUAUUUUUUUUUUUUAUCAGGAUGGGUAAUUUUUUGCACUUUACACAUUUCUGGGAGAUAUUCUUAAAAUUAUAGAGGAGAUUCUUUCCUGCAAAUCUUUUUCAGUUGAUAUAAAGACUAUGUAUUAAAUCUACUCAUGAGGUAGUUUCUUCAUUUAUGUUCAGAAUCAAUUAACAGUGCUGAGUGUUUAUAAACAGUAAUUGUUGAGGUUGCAUAUGAAUCAAACUAAGUGAUUAAUUAAACAUUUUAAACUAAAUUGCAAAUGCUCAUUACUUUUUAGUAUUUUUCUAUAUUUUACCUCUUAUUUAUUGCUUGGGCCAUAUGCUCAGCACUGACAAAGCCUCAGUUUUAAUUCUAUAUUCAGUUUGGGGUGAAGCAUUUAAAGAACGGUACGCAUUUGGAGUGAGUCAACAAGAGAGUAACAAAAAUGGGAUGUUAUCUACAAAAUAGCACACAUGCAGAAGAGACUUUAGCUUACAAAAACAAGAAAAGCUGGGUGGUGGAGUGGGGGAGGAAGGUUUAGGGAAUCAAAAUAAAUAAAACCAAGGAGGAAUGUGGUAGCA